UUCCCGGUCAGGGAACCA
rnacentral:ncRNA from 3 species